AUAGUUAGAGUCAUAAUGAAUCUUCACAAAAACCAAACACGUACACCUUCUGUUCCCUAUUGACACAAGCAAUCUAAUUCAAGAAACUUGUCAAAAACCAAACCAACCAAUAGAAUUCUAUCAUAUGGCCCCAUCACCAUCCCAUACCAAUAAAAGUGCUCUCUAUAAACCAACAAAACUAAAUCACUCUCUCUCUCUCUCUCUCUAAUCUCUCUUUCAUAAAAUUAUUUCUUUUAUCCAACAAAAAAAAAAAAAAAGAGUAAAAGCAACCAACUUGAUCAUCUAUGAGUAAAAGCAACUCCAUAAGCAUAUUACAAAACAAUCAAACCAAAGAUUGAAAAAACAUCAUUUGUAUCAUUGUAAUAAAUAAGAAGAAAAGUAUACUAUAGUAUAGUGAUGAAGUGGUAGUGAACAAGAGAGAGAGAGAGAGAGAGAGAGAUUCAUAUGAAGAGAAACGAGGAUUGUGGAAGAAAGAGUCAACAACCUGGGAAAGCCGGGAGAGUUUUUGUUGGAUGGUAUAUUGGAUUGCAUCCAUGAAAUCACAGUUGCACUUUCCUUUCCAAAUAGAAUGACUGAUUCUCUUUACAAAGUUGAUACAACUCCACGUCUUGC
rnacentral:lncRNA from 1 species